AUUGAACGCUGGCGGCAGGCUUAACACAUGCAAGUCGAGCGGGGUGAUGGUGCUUGCACUAUCACUUAGCGGCGGACGGGUGAGUAAUGCUUAGGAAUCUGCCUAUUAGUGGGGGACAACAUCUCGAAAGGGAUGCUAAUACCGCAUACGUCCUACGGGAGAAAGCAGGGGAUCACUUGUGACCUUGCGCUAAUAGAUGAGCCUAAGUCGGAUUAGCUAGUUGGUGGGGUAAAGGCCUACCAAGGUGACGAUCUGUAGCGGGUCUGAGAGGAUGAUCCGCCACACUGGGACUGAGACACGGCCCAGACUCCUACGGGAGGCAGCAGUGGGGAAUAUUGGACAACGGGGGGAACCCUGAUCCAGCCAUGCCGCGUGUGUGAAGAAGGCCUUAUGGUUGUAAAGCACUUUAAGCGAGGAGGGGGCUAAUCUAGUUAAUACCUAGGGAUAGUGGACGUUACUCGCAGAAUAAGCACCGGCUAACUCUGUGCCAGCAGCCGCAGUAA
rnacentral:rRNA from 1 species